UACGGGGGGGGCAAGCGUUGUUCGGAAUUACUGGGCGUAAAGGGCGCGUAGGCGGCUCGUCAAGUCGGGCGUGAAAUCUCCAGGCUUAACCUGGAAAAGGCGUUCGAUACUGUUGAGCUAGAGUGUGGAAGAGGCUACUGGAAUUCCGUGUGUAGCGGUGAAAUGCGUAGAUAUACGGAGGAACACCAGCGGCGAAGGCGGGUAGCUGGGCCGACACUGACGCUGAUGCGCGAAAGCCAGGGGAGCAAACGGG
rnacentral:rRNA from 1 species